UACGUAGGGGGCAAGCGUUGUCCGGAUUUAUUGGGCGUAAAGAGCGUGUAGGCGGCCAGGUAGGUCAGCUGUGAAAACUCGAGGCUCAACCUCGAGACGCCGGUUGAAACCAUCUGGCUAGAGUCCGGAAGAGGAGAGUGGAAUUCCUGGUGUAGCGGUGAAAUGCGCAGAUAUCAGGAGGAACACCUGAGGCGAAGGCGGGUUGCUAGGCUGACACUGACGCUGAGUGCGCGAAAGCCAGGGGAGCAAACGGG
rnacentral:rRNA from 1 species